CCUGUGUAGGUUGUAAGUCACUACCUCAUUCUACAUUUUUUCUAUUAUACCUAAGCAGGCAGUGAAGUUUUGCGAAAAGUUACAGUGUGGACUCAGUAAUACUGUGGGGAAUUCAGGAAGGGCUUGUCUCAUGCUUCAGAAAGAGACGCACACAUUCUCCUCUUUGAGACCAGGGUGCUGGUAACCGUCUGCAGAAAGUCAUGCCCAGCUGAGCAGUGUGAUCUUACAGAAGAUGGUACAGCCUUCAAGCCUUAGUGGGCACAAGAACCCUGUGGACCUGCUCAGGAGACCACACGGCAGAACCCUGGGAACUCUCAGAAGCAGCUGGCAGAUCAGCCCUGAGCUAACUGCUGUCAAUCCUCCUCCUUUUGCUGAGGAAGACUGGCCCUGAGCUAACAUCCAUGCCCAUCUUCCUCUACUGUAUAUGUGGGACGCCUACCACAGCAUGGCUUGCCAAGCGGUGCCAUAUCUGCACAAGGGAUCCAAACCGGCGAACCCCGGGCCACUGUAGUGGAACGUGCAAACUUAACCACUGCGCCACCAGGCCGGCCCAAGAAAAUAAUUUUUUAAAGCACACUUUUGAUUUACCAUUUAGAUUUUAGCAACUGAUAUACUAAGCAGAAAUCAUUCCAUAUCAUUAAUUAUACCUGGACCAUAAAAACAACUUACUAGGAAGAUUAGCCCUGAGCUAACAUCUGCCACCAAUCCUUCUCUUUUUGCUGAGGAAGACUGGCCCUGAGCUGACAUCCGUGCCCAUCUUCCUCUACUUUAUAUGUGGGACGCCUACCACAACAUGGCUUGACAAGUAGUGAGUAGGUCCACACCUGGAAUCGGAACUGGCGAACCCCGGACCGUCGAAGCAGAAUGUGCAAACUUAACUGCUGCGCCACAGGGCUGGGCCCCACAUUCUUUUUUAAAAUUGUGAAAUAUGUCAUAUAUACAUGAGUAUACAUGUAUAAAAUGUAAACACAUAAGUUAAAGAAAAAUUAUCAAGUGAACAUUGAGUAUCUACUGUUCAGGUUACAAAAUAAAACAUUGUCAAUACUUGGAAGCUCCUGUGUGCCUUCACCUGAACAUAUCCCUUUCCUUUUCCCGAGAGGUAACAGUCAUAUUUACUUUUAUCAAAUCAUUCUCUUGCUGUGUUUUAUAUUUACACAACCUAUGUAUGCAUCCCUAAUGACAAAUUGUUUAUUUUUGUCUAUUUUUGAACUCUAUAUAAUGGAAUCAUAUUAUGUAUGUUCAGUUUUUACUUGCUUCUGUCACUCAAAAAUAAUUUGUGAGAUUCACUCAUGCUGCUAAGUGUCUAUUUUCAUUUUGUAUGGUAUUCCAUCGUUUGAAUAUAUCACAAUUUAUUUAUCCACACUACUGUAAUAGAUAUCUUAGUUAUCUCCAGUUUUUGUAUAUUAUAAACCAAAUUGCCAAGAAUGUUAUUAUACAUGAUUCUUUGUACACAUACGCAAGAAUUUUUCUAGGGCAUUUACCCAGGAGUAGAAUUCCUUGAGAGUAGAGUAUGAGUGUAAUCAACUCUACUAGGUAUUGCUAAACAAUUUUUCUAAAGAAAUUGUGCCAACUAGCACUUCUACUAAUGUUAACUAAUAGUUGGUAUUGUCAGAUUUGCUGUUUAAAUUUGCGUUUCCCUGAUUACUAAUGAAAUUGAGCAUCUUUUCUUAUUUGUAUUAGCCAUUGAGUUUCCUCAUUUGUGAAGUUCCUGUUCAAGUUAUGUACCCAUUUUUCUAGUAGGUUAUAUAUCUUUUCCUGUUGUUUUGUAGUUCUUUCUAUAUUCUGUAUAGUAGUUCUUUGUCAGUAUUUGUAUUACAAACCUUUGCCUAAUUUGUGAUUUUUUAAAUUCUCUUUAUCAUGUCUAUUAUUGAACAGAAGUUCUUAAUUUUUUUAGAAGUUCUUAAUUUUAAUGUAACCAAAUAUAUAAAUAUUUUCCUUUAUGUUUUAUGCCUUUUGCACCUUAUUUCAGAAUUUUUCCUAUAAAGAGCAUAAUACUUUUUGCAUCUUGUUUAAAAAAUUCCCCCUUAUGCAAAGAUCUUAAGGAUAUUUUCCUAUAUUUACUUAUAAAUAUUUACUUUUUUUUUACACAUUUAGGUCUUUAGUUCACCUGAAAUUGAUUUUUGUGUAUUAUGUGAGGUGGGAAGUCAAAAUUUUUUUAUCCCUGUAUGGAUAACCAGUUUUCUCAGCAUCAUUUAUUAACAUUCAUCUUUUACUCACUGAUCUAUAACGUGACCGUUGUUGUAAGGUUUCCUUAUACGUGUGGGUUAUUGGGGGCUUCCUGCUCUGACUACGGUAAUGUCUUAAUUAUCAUAGGUUUAUAAUUAGCCUGAGAUUCUAGGUUAAGUGCCCUGUACCUUGUUCUUCUUCAAAAUUGUCUUGUUUGUUGGUUUGGCUUGGUUUUUCUUCAUACAUUUUAGAAUCAGCUUUAAAAGUUUCAUGAAAUACUCUCAUUAUUUUUAAAAAUUGCUUUAAAUUUAUGGAUUAAUUUGUGGGAAAUUGACAUUUUCAGAAUAUUGAAUCUACUUAUCCAUAAACGUGGUAUAGGUCUCUGUUUAGAAAAUUACAGAUUUUUCAUAAAAAUCUUACAUAUAUUCUUAAGAUUUGUUUCUAUGUAUCUGUGUCAGAUAUCUUCAGAUAUUUUCUCUAUAUCCACUCUUCAGUCUUCACCAUUUUGUUGUCUACUCUGGGAGGCUGACCUGUAUGGACUACAUCCAUGGCCUCCUAUGAUCUCGGGUUCUAUUGGGUUCAGCUAAUAGGGUGCCCCAGCUAUAGAUCAGAGAGAAGGAGGAGAGUGAAGUCAGGGGAUUAUUGAUUCCUCCUGCUCCCACAAGGUUGCCUUAAGUUGGCUAUUUCCCUCUACUGAAGGUUACUUCUCUCAAAGUGGUAAGACUCUCUUUCCUUCUUAGUCCCUCCCUUCAUCCCUUUGGACAAAGAGUCAUAAUAAUUUCUUAUGGAGCAAAGAGUAGAAGUCCAAAAGUCCAGGUAAUGGACAAUAAGGAUUAUUUAAGGUUUGUGGCCUGGAAGAAGAAGGAAGACAUGUUUAGUAAGUAUGAGAUGGUGACAUUUUUUCAUGUGCUAUAGGAACAUCAGGAGAAAUAAAGACUGUGAAAAGCCUUUUAAAAAAAUAACCAACAUGAAAUUAUUGAGCACAAACUAUAUGCCUUGCUCUGUGAUAGGUGCUUUACAUAUUUUAUCUCACUUAAUUCCUAUGAUAAUCUUAUGAGAUAGAUUUUGUUAUCCCUAUUUCACAGGUGAGAUUUUAAAGAUGCUUUCUCAAGGUCACAGAGCUAGUUAAUAAGGAGUAGAAUAGAAUUUUAACCUAGGUCUACUUGAAUCCAAAGCCCAUUCUAUUAAUUACCUUGCUAUUCUGUCACAUUAUACCAUUAAAUUAACAAUCAGGAGAUUAUGUCCUUUUAGAGUGGAGUUUUGGUUAAGCGAUCAGGAUGCAGUUUCAGAGGAGUGAUCAGGCUGGAUCAUCUCAAGAGGUUAAGGACUGAAGUGGCAAAGAAAUAAAGAUGGCAGUGGCAUAGCAGCUAUUUGAUUAGUAGUAAAAGAUUGGAGAUGAAUAGUAUUGAUUGCUAGAAGUCCCAUAUUUCUAAAAAGUCUAUGUCACACAAAGUCUGACCUUUCUCAUCCUGAGAUAUACUCAGCUGGCCCUCUCUGAGGAGUUCCACUCUGUUAUUCCAAUAGUGAUGCCCCAGUUUGACAGGGCUUUCCCCUCCUCAUAGGUAAAAAAGAAGCUAGACAAGCUUCUUGGAGACAGAGCAUCUCAUUGAUCUCUGUAUUCCAACCACAGAGCCUGGUAUGCUUCGAACCAAACAUUGUGAUUUGGGCUGUAUGAUCUGGGUCUUGCUGCAGGGCCUGUUUAUCCUCAUUAACAUUAAUACAGUGCUGUCUUCCAGGUCACCUUGUGCCAGCAACACAGAAAAAGAUAUUAAUGUCUGCCAUUCUCCUGCCUUUCCUUCAUAACAGCUCUGCCACCUAAUACUUAAGCACAGACAGGUGCCAUUUGAUAAAACACUUAUAAGACGAUUACGGGAAAAAUCAGCUUUAACCUUAGAUCAGCAACUCUCAAAAGAGAAACCAUUGCUAUCACAGGAAGCAAAAAAAUUCUCUGAGGAUAGUAGUAAAAAUGUACAGUGAAAACUAAUACCAAGAUUGCUGGUGAACAGGUAAUGGAAUAAGUAACUAGAAGCCAUUUUCCCUCCCUACGAUAAGCAAAGAUCAAGAAGAACCUAGACCAGCCUGUCUCUGACUUAGGGUAGAGAUAAGAGACCACAGUUCAGCUUUGCUUCUCUCUUUUCAUAUAUCUUUCUUGUUUUUAUUGCAGUUUUACUUCCUUGAACUCACAUAUUUUAUCCUUUUAAAGUGUGUUUCUUAAAAAAGUCUUUACUAUAAAAGUCACAGUAAUAACAGUUUAAUAACAAUCAUUACAUUAUGGAGCACGAUAAAUGUUACUCAAAUGAUUGGGAGAAGUAAAUAUAGGGUAGAAGGGCUGUGAAGACUAUAAUAAAAGCCUGUUGGUGAAAGAUCACAUAUAUCUAACUAGCAGGAAGAGAAGAGGAUCAGCAGAAUGUGAGUCGUAUUUAUGAAAGACUAAUAAUACUAAUAAUAAUGAUUAUAAUUACAGAUGAAGCUCCUAUUUGAGAACUGAAAUAAAUAGGGAGCCAAGGAAGAUUGCUAAGUAAGGAACAAAUAUCUCAUUUAUGCUUUAAACUUUAUAAAGUGAAUUUAAAAAAUAAGAAGAGUGAUUUACCAUAGUAUGGAUGAGGAAUAGUGAUGCUAUGAACAGGAGUUCUGGCUACUCAUUUUAGUCUCCAUAAUCGGAGGGCAUGAUAAAGUAUAGUACAUGAAGAAAAUACCUUAUCUCAGUGAUGUUAGAGAGUUCUUCACAAGAUUUAGAAGCCCAAGAACUAUAAGGUAAAAGACAGUUCAGGGUGAGUUUGGAUGUCUAUGUUCUUGAAAACAUAGAGAAUGUGAGCCAUUUUUAAGUUUAGGAGAAAGAUUGCAAAUGUUAAAAAUCUCUCAUAUUUCAUUUGGCAAGUCAAUUUGAUUUUUUUCCAAAUAAGUGAAAAAUUAGAUACUUUGUAAUCUGUUUCUAUCCUAUAGCUGUUUCUUUCUCUUGAAGGUAGUCUAUUAAAUUUAGGAGAAAAGAUAUUUCUUCCUAAAUAAAGGAGAAUAAAACUUAAAAAUUAAUUCCAUCUUAUGCAAAAUAACUAUUAUUUGGUAAAAGUUUGCAACAUAUUGUAAAAGUGCAAAUAGUGAUAAGUUCUAGUUUCAUAUGUUUUAAUAAAUUUUUUCUUUAAGAUUCAUUUGGUUCAUCUAAAAUGUUACUUUAUUGGCAAUAUAAUUUUG
ensembl:lncRNA